rnacentral:rRNA from 1 species
AGUGAACGCUGGCGGUAGGCCUAACACAUGCAAGUCGAACGGCAGCACAGUAAGAGCUUGCUCUUACGGGUGGCGAGUGGCGGACGGGUGAGGAAUACAUCGGAAUCUACUUUUUCGUGGGGGAUAACGUAGGGAAACUUACGCUAAUACCGCAUACGACCUACGGGUGAAAGCAGGGGAUCUUCGGACCUUGCGCGAUUGAAUGAGCCGAUGUCGGAUUAGCUAGUUGGCGGGGUAAAGGCCCACCAAGGCGACGAUCCGUAGCUGGUCUGAGAGGAUGAUCAGCCACACUGGAACUGAGACACGGUCCAGACUCCUACGGGAGGCAGCAGUGGGGAAUAUUGGACAAUGGGCGCAAGCCUGAUCCAGCCAUACCGCGUGGGUGAAGAAGGCCUUCGGGUUGUAAAGCCCUUUUGUUGGGAAAGAAAAGCAGCAGGUUAAUACCCCGCUGUUCUGACGGUACCCAAAGAAUAAGCACCGGCUAACCUCGU